rnacentral:rRNA from 1 species
GUCUACCACCAUGUCACCCUGAACUGUCUGGAUCCUGUCUGAUCUCGGAAGCUAAGCAGGGUCCGGCCUGGUUAGUACUUGGAUGGGAGACCACCUAGGAAGACCAGGUACUGUAGGUG